ACGUGUUAUCAGCUAUGAACCAACAACGAACACUGGUUACAGUCACGCCACCUGGCGCUACUCUUUAUUUUAACAAGAAAUAAUUGUGUAUAAAAGGAGGUACUGGUGUUCCAUUAAGGCAUAACGCAAUUUUUGUACAAAUUUAUUCUUCACUUACACUUCGUUUCACGAAAACAAAUCAAAAACCAAAAAUGGGCGCUGAAAAAGUCACCAUGAACAUCGUUGUCGUAGGACAAGUCCAAUCUGCCAAGGCCAUCAAAUCGGUCGCCAAAGCCACCCCAGCCACCAGCCAAUUGAUGAACUGUUAAUUCAUGACAUCCAUGUCAAUCUCAAACUCAAAUACGCCAUAGCCCGAACAGUACAUUAUUUUUAUAAUUUGUUGAUAAUUAUAAUAUAUUGUAUUGACAUUACAAAAUAAAUCAGUCUUCUCCGUCAA